UACAGAGGGGGCAAGCGUUGUUCGGAAUUACUGGGCGUAAAGGGCGCGUAGGCGGCCUCUUAAGUCGAACGUGAAAUCCCCGGGCUCAACCCGGGAACUGCGUCCGAUACUGGGGGGCUUGAAUCCGGGAGAGGGAUGUGGAAUUCCAGGUGUAGCGGUGAAAUGCGUAGAUAUCUGGAGGAACACCGGUGGCGAAGGCGG
rnacentral:rRNA from 1 species